GAAAAAACCCAGACUACAAUGCCAGAACCCCAGGCUCUUGCUCCGUGCUUAUGAUGCCUUCGAUAAGGCUCUUCUUUUCUCUCUGUCUCUGUAAAACGAGAACAAUGAGACUCCUCCAGAGGGGAAGUGAGACUCAAGUGGGGCCCUCUCUGAGAUCGCCAUGAACAACCCAGGGGAAGACAGGCCUGAGGCAAGCAACGGCUUGCUGGCCCAAGGGAUUCACCAGAGGAAAGCAGUCUCCUUCAUUUCCCUUCCCUCCCUCUGCACACACUCUCUGUGGACUGGGAGGUGAGAAGUGGACUGGUGAUGCCGAUUACUGGGAAUUUCCCCAAAGAACAAGAAGAAACGAUCUCUUAUUGACUGCUCAAGAAGGAAGCUUACUGCCAGGUCCUUGAGGUCUGCCCUCUACAGAGAAGAAGCACUGCUUGAGAGACACUCAGAGGAGUGGCAGAUUCAAGUCUAGACUCUACCCUAAUCAACUGGUGGCCGUGGAUGGGUUAACCAGGGAUGGCUGCAUGAUGUAGUGGUGAAAAUCAGACUUACAGUCAGACAGACCUGUGUUCUAAUCCUGACCCUGCCUCUUAUUAACUAUAUAAAUGUAGACAAAGCCUUUCUAAGCCUCUUCUCCUCAGGUUUAUUAUUUCCACCAAAAAUGGUCUUUUCUUUCCUCCUACUCCAACAGAGAAACUGCUUCAAACCUGUUAUGAGUCCAGAUCUGCUUCCCAAGCACCUGCCUGGCUGAGAAGUUUAGUUUGUACUGGGGACCACUUGUUUAUUGUGCAAAUAAGGCCAAGCUAUUUGCCCAAGGCCCUACCUCAGCAGAAUUUUAAACUCUGUAAUCCCUUUGUGGGAAUUCCUGGGAGUAAAUACAAUUUAUGUGUAUCUAUUUCAUCAUUGGCUGCUUGACCUGCUUUAUAUAGCUUUCUAUCUCAGUAACUCAGCCCAGUCCAUCAUAUCUAAUAUAUUCAUAGCCAAGUUACAAAAUAUUCUCUUGCUGCUGUCCUUGACAUAUCUUUUUACUUCAGACUUAGCUGAUUCUCUCAAAUGAGUAUCUAGGGCCAGGAAAUAUAUACUGAGAUUAUCAGGACUCAGUUAAAGCUAAUGGCAAUGGCAAUUCAUUGCCAUUCAUUCAUUGAUUUAUCAAACACAUUUUUUGAGCACCUACUAACAGCUACUUCAUUCCAGUCACUGUGCUAGACACUGAGGAUACAGAGAUGAAAGGUGUGGCCUCUGCCUUUAGCUUGUGCUCGGCCCAAUGUGAGGCUGCAUGAUGUAGUGGUG
rnacentral:lncRNA from 1 species